CCCCAAGCAUAGAUUCUGGCAGAAAGAAACAGUCUGGACUGAUGACACACUACAACAUUUGGUCAUGUGGAAAGAAUGAUCUUCAGGAAAAAUCACACCCUUGGCAAAGGCUUUUUACAGAGGCAAGGGCGAGCCGGCCAAUUCUGACAAUAUUCCAGUGGCAAGGGAGCCAGGCUGACUCAGUCAUCAUUACUUGUGUUUCGUCUCUUCCUCCCACAUCUCCUUGUAUAACUGUCUUUUGGGGAGGGGUGAAGUGAUAGUAAGAAAAACAACAGCACUUUGAAAAAGGGACAGGGGGAGAAACAAGAAGGGGAGAAAGAGUUGGGGAGAGCUCUUGGGUGAUGGGGAGAUAGCACUGGGGAUGUUCUGGAGCCUGACAGAACUGUGUGGUCCCUCCAGCUGGAGAUGCUGGGAAAACAGGAAGGGAUUCGGGAGACGGCAGGGAUGAAGUUGGCUCAUGAAAUGCAGGGCUCCCUUAGCACUUUACAAAUACCAGCUUACAAACACUCCACAGUCAUCAGGAAACCCUUGAUGGAUGCUGCACAGAGAUCGAAGUUCAGGAGCAGCACCAAUAUUCAUCCGGGGCAAUUGGAGUGAGAGCAGCACAGGAUCACAGCCUGAUUUGGCCUCAGAGGCUUUCUUAUCUCUUGCAAGAUCUGGAAGCCAUGCAAAAGGUGUCAUGGGGAGAGGCGCUGAUGUCAGGCAUUUAUGGGACCACUGAGUGGGGGCAAAGAGGCAGGAGAAAAAGCCAGUGAUGAUGGGUCGACACCUGCAGGUAGACCCAUUUGCAGGUUAUUAGAAACUAGCUUAUUUAUCCAGCUUUUUUUUUUUUUUUUUUGGAGAUGGAGUCUUGCUCUGUCGCCCAGGCUGGAGUGCAGUGGCGUGAUCUCGGCUCACUGCAACCUCCACCUCCCAGGUUCACGCCAUUCUCCUGCCUCAGCCUCCCAAGUAGCUGGGACUACAGGCAUCUGGCACCACGCCUGGCUAAUUUUUUUGUAUUUUUAGUGGAGACGGGGUUUCACCGUGUUAGCCAGGAUGGUCUUGAACUCCUGACCUCGUGAUCCACCUGCCUUGGCCUCCCAAAGUGCUGGGAUUUCAGGCGUGAGCCACCGCGCCUGGUCCUCCAGCUCUCUUUUUGUGGUUAUCUUAGACGCUAUGAAUCUACUUGAAAACCAAGACGAUUGAUCCUUUAAGUGAGCUGCAGGUGUCCACCUGGGCGUGUUUUCUGCUUCUAAGCCACAGGCAAUUCGGUGUGCAAGUUUAACACCCUGAUAGGCCCUAGCCUUAGCUCUGUUUUAAACUCCCAAAAAGUGUUUUUGUGUUUGUGUGCAUGUGGGGGAGACACCUUAAAAUCCAGCAAUGCUGUGUCCACAGUGCUCUCCUGGGCCCCUUCCAAAGAUGGGAAUAAUAUGGGCAGCUGGUUUCGAUUUUUAUAACUUGCAACAGCUACUCUGUGAAAGCGGUGUGCAGCAACAGCCAGGCAAUCCGGACAGACUUAUUAAAUGUGCUGGGCACUGGGCACUGGGCACUGGGCACUGGAAUUCUCCUGGUUGUAGGCAAGCUGGGGGACAGGGAGGUGAGAGCUGGAAUAGUCAUUCUGAAGUGUGAUAUUUAUUGGACCCCAUACUAGGUGACUGAUGGAGAGGGGCUACCACUCUUCCAGCUAAACUCCGCUCUGGUUGGGACCCAGCAAUUAUUUUCCAUAGCGAAGUGUUAAUAAAAUAUCUGUUACUCCCAACACAACCUCCUGGGGGAAGGGACCUGUCUGUCUGCUUCAACUUUGGAUCCUCAGUGCCCACAUCAGGAUACCUGGCCUGAGGUGAGUGCUGUAGAAAUAGCUGUUGAAUGAAUGCAUGAGGGCCUGCUCUGCCUGAGGGCUGGGGACAGAUUGGGUGUUUUCUGUGUCCCCUCCAGAGCAUCCGGUGACCCAGUUUUAGGUCUCAAGGUCACUGCCAAGAAAGAGAAGCUGCUAAAGUGACACCUCUGUGCACCCACAUGACUUAACACAAAAGUUAACAGGAGCUCUUCAAAAACAAGCCUCUCGAGUGUCUGUCUCCUGUUUUCCCUGAGGACAGCAUCAGUGGCAUCAGAUAGGGGUUGGGGCUGGGUGACCUGCUGGUCCUCAGCCAUCACUGUGGCCCAGAGGUCAUUUAAGCAGCUCUCUGCUUAGCAGACAGGCAGAGGGAAUAGAUGGAAGGUACAGGUAAACACUGCAUGUGGCCACCGCGAGGAUACCCCGGAGCCUGGGAAACAGACAGGGACGUCGUAAAACCAACACAUAAUGGACCAGUGCAGAGACAGGCAAAACCAGUCAGAAGAAAUAGGAUGGUGCCUAGCCCAGGGACACCUGACUUAAGGUAUUUUUGUUUGUUUGUUUUGUUUUUUGAGACAGGGGUCUCUCUCUGUCACCCAGGCUGGAGUGCAGUGGCAUACUCACUGCUCACUGCAGUCUCAACCUCCCAGGCUUAAGCGAUCCUCCCACCUCAGCCUCCUUAGUAGUAGCUGGGACUACAGGUGUGCACCAACACAUCCAGUUCAUUUUUGUAUUUUUUUGUAGAGGUGGAGUUUCGCCAUGUUGCUCAGGCUGGUCUCGAACUGGGCUCAAGCGAUCUGCCCGCCUCGGCCUCCCAAAGUGUGGGGAUUACAGGCGUGAGCCACCACACCUCGUUGACCUAAGAGAGGGUCCUGCCGGUAUUACCCUGGAGGAAGGAAUGCUGCACAGAGGCCGAGAGGAAUUUGAACAGACUGGCCUUGCUGGGUUUUUAUCUCUUUUUGUCCAAUCCCAUUUUGACACAGUUGUCCAUGCUCCAAUCAUGCUUAUCCAAUGAAGUUUCCAUAACAGGCCUGAGAGGACAGGGUUCAGGAGCUUCCGGACAGCUGAGCAGGUGGAGGUUCCUGGAGGGUGGUGUGCCAGGGAGGGUGUGGAAGCUCUGCCCCUUCCCCCAUACCUUGUCCUAUGCAUUCCUUUAUCUGCAUCCUUCAUUUUAUUUUAUUUUUUUUUGAGACGGAGUCUUGCUCUUGUCGUCCAGGCUGGAAUGCAGUGGUGCGCGAUCUUGGCGCACUGCAACCUCCGCCUCCCGAGUUCAAGAGAUUCUCUUGCCUGAGCCUCCCGAGUAGCUGGGAUUACAGGCACCCGCCACCAUCCCUGGCUAAUUUUUGUAUUUUUAGUAGAGAUGGGGUUUCACCAUGUUGGCCAGGUUAGUCUUGAACUCCUGACCUCAGGUGAUCCACCCACCUCAGCCUCCCAAAGUGCUGAGAUUACAGGCGUGAGCCACAGUGCCCGGCCUGUAUCCUUUAUAAUAUCUUUUAUAAACAACCAAUCAGUAAAUGUGUUACUCUGACUUCUGUGAGCUGCUCUAGCAAAUUAAUCAAAUCCACAGAAGGGUCAUGGGAACCCCAACUUGAAGCCUGUCCGUCAGAAGUUCCAGAGUCCUGGACUUGUGACUGGUGUCUGAAGUGGGCAAGUCUUGGGGACUGAGCCCCUAGCCUGUGGGAUCUGAUGCUAUCUCCACAUAGAUAGCAAUGGAAUUGAAUUGGCGGGCACCUGGCUGGUGUCUGCUGCAGAGCUCAUUGUUUGCUUAGUGGUGGAGAGAAGUCUCCCUCCACAUGUGGUCACAGCAUCUUCUGUCUGUGUUGAUUGCUUUUGAUGUUGAUCGAGAGAACAGGAAAAAGCACAUUGAAUGUCUCAAUGAUGAAGAUGACAAUAAUCUGGCUUCUAGGUUGUUAUGCGGCAGGCAACAGCUGUGCAGAUCCUAAUAAUCUACUCUGGGUGACAGUUUAACACAGGGGUUGGCAAAUGUGGCCCACUUCCUAUUUUUAUAAAUAAAGUUUUAUUGAAACAUGGCCAUGCUCAUUCAUUUACAUAUCAUGCUGCUCUGCUAGAGUUGAGUGGUGGUGAUAAGACACCUAUGGUCAAUAGAGUCCUUUACAGAAGAAAGGAUUUACUAUUCGGCCCUUUACAGAAAAAGUCUGUCAUCCUGCCCUCAUUCAUUAGUAGACAACCAGCUGGUUCCUGGACUUCCUUGAGGAAAGUGCUAUAUUAAGCAGUUGUGGGUAUAAAGUCUGGGCUCCAACACUUGCUCUGUGACCUUGGGCAAGUUACUUACCUAGUCUGGGCUCAUCAUUUUCACAGGUAUAACAGGAGUAAUGACAUGGUGGGGAUGAAGUGGGAUAUUGUCUGGACCACGCUUUGCAUAGUGUCUCAUGGCUAGGAAGUACUCUAUACAAAGUAGUUACUAUUAUUAGCUAUUAUAUUUCAACUGAUGAAAGGUACAAAGAAACUCCCAGGAAGCGGGUCAUUGCUGCAUGCCGCUGUCUUUAAAGAACGCCCAGCAGCAAUCCCAUACGUAGCCAACAAGAUAUGUGGACGUCAAAAGUAAGUGCUCCUUGGGUGCAGCACACCAACAUGGCACAUAUAUACACAUGUAACAAACCUGCACGUUGUGCACAUGUACCCUAAAACUUAAAGUAUAAUAAUAAAAAAAUUUUAAAAAAAAGUAAGUGCUCCUAUGCAACAUACCCAGUAAAUUAAUGAUUCCAACUUCCUUUUCAGUUAAAGCAGUGGAUCAGAAUUUGAAAAGGAGUAAAGGUCAAGGCCAUGAGGUCUAACUAACACGGUAGCAUCAGAGCCUGGCCCAUAGUAGGCCCCCAGUGUCUACCGGCUGAAUGGAUGGAGGCUGGUUGUUUAACUGUCAAACCAUACUCUCUGAUGAUAAGACCACAGUUAGCCAGAAGAUAAAGUUUCUGCCUCCAAUAUUUUUGGGUCUUAGAAAGGAAAACAGUUUGCUAAAGAUGACAGGAAACUCAAAACAAGGACCUGUUAAUGCUUCCCCCAACUGGACGGAGGCAUUGCAAAAGGAUUCCUGGGCAACAGAUGGGCAAAGAAAAAUGUUUAAAAACAAAAGCAGGCACAUAAGGUCAUGAAUUGGCCCAAAAUAACCUGGGACACUGAGCAGACGGAUGCAAGCAGUGCACCUGACGGAAAUGAGGCCAAGCUGAUGAGCUGAAAUAGCCUCACUGGUGCCCUCCAUCCUGCUUUAGGAGGCCUCAGCAUGGCAAAGAGGCAUGCAUUAGCGUUAUUAGGUUUAGGUUUCCUCACAUCCUUAGUGGAUUGCCUUCAUUCCUAAGUCCCUAAAAAAUUGGAAACCACUCCACUUACCAGGAGCACACUUUGGAAUGCAGAUCUGGAAGCUAUUUUUUCCCUCCAGACAUUUCAUGACUUUGGUUUCUACAACAGCAGGCGAUGGUGAUGCUGCCAAGUUUCAAGAGAAGGGCACCUUAUCUGCAAAGUCACGAAUCCAAGGAUCCACAUGGGCUCCCACUGGCAAGGGCGGAAGGAAGUUGUGUGUCUUAGCUUCUUGAAAGAUCAGAAGAAGAUUGGGAGGUUUGGGUAUACAGGUACCUCACUGUACUGUGGUGCAACCCCCAGGGGAAAGACUGCUGGUAGCUUCUCAGAAUCAGUAGUGGGUGGGGGCUGUGUAGCAGAGCGUCGUAGUAAAUGCCCAUUUGGUUGCAAUGAACAGAAACUCAAACCAGCUAAAGCAAAAAGAGGGCACCUAUAGGGAAGAAAAGCCAGCUCCUGAUGUCCAAGCCUGACUCUUCAGCUUUGCAUAGCCACUGAUUCUCUGACCUUCCUCAUUUCCUCCCAGUAAACUCUCUUUCUGUUUAAGUUAGCCACAGGAGGUAUCUGUUGUUUACAACCAAGGGAUCUUGAGUGAUACAAAGGGUCCUAGUGGAACCCAAGGGCAGGUACUGGAACUGGCCUUCACAAGGAAGGGAACUGGGAAUCAGAAAGUCAUUGGGAAUCAAGGUAACUUUCUUCUGGGUCAGCUGGGAAUGUAUUCAGCUUCAAAUAGCAGAAAACCCAAUGUGAGUAGAUUGUAAAAAUCUGGAGCUCCUCCCACACAGACUCUGGCUUUAUCUGAUGGGAUAUUAACAAACAUAAGGCAAGUAGAAACUUGAAAAGUGCUUGUGCACUGGGGCUUGUUCUCACCUGCUGUUCUUGGCAACCUGUGGCCACCACAUGUGAACGAGCCUAGUCCAGUCGGCUGAAGGAUGAGUGGGCCUGCUGAGCAGAGACAAAGCGUGGCAGUGGAAGGCCUCUCUAGACCAGGUUUCUCAACCUCAGUGCUACUGACAUUUUAGAUCAAAUAAUUCUUUGUUAUGGGGAGUUCUUUUGUCCAUUGUAGAAUGUUUAGCAGCACCUUUGGCCUCUACCUCUAGAAGAGCACCUGCCCUUCCUUCGUUGUGACAACUAAAAUUAUGUCCAGACAUGGCCAAAGUUCUCUUGGGGGGCAAAAUUGCUCCUUGUUGAGAACUACUACCCUAACCCAACUUGCCUGCCAAGGCCAGGUGUAUGAGGCCAGGUGUAUGAAAGAGGCCAUUCUAAACCAUCCAGCCCCAGCCAAGACAGUCCAGACAGGAAAAGUGUGCAGCUUGACCCAUGGAAUCAAAAGAAAUAAUAAAUAUUUG
rnacentral:lncRNA from 1 species